rnacentral:rRNA from 1 species
AACCUGCCUUGUAGCGGGGGAUAACUAUUGGAAACGAUAGCUAAUACCGCAUAACAAUGGAUGACACAUGUCAUUUAUUUGAAAGGGGCAAUUGCUCCACUACAAGAUGGACCUGCGUUGUAUUAGCUAGUAGGUGAGGUAACGGCUCACCUAGGCGACGAUACAUAGCCGACCUGAGAGGGUGAUCGGCCACACUGGGACUGAGACACGGCCCAGACUCCUACGGGAGGCAGCAUG